CCCAUUUUUCAUGUCAGAAGGCUUCCAUCUUUUUGAUAAGCUCCAAUUUAAAUUCUUCAAGAGCUUGUGGACAAUUUCCAUUUCUUUUGGAAGGUUUUGGAGCAUUUAUUUGGGUUUCCUUUUCUGAUAUUUCCUCAGUAGUCUGUAUUUUUCCUCUGUAAAAAACUAUCCAAAGUCAACCCCUUCUUCUUGCUUUUCUUGGUGUUGGGAAGUUGUUCCUGGGCACUGUUUGCCAUCUCUAUGGUUUUUCCUUCCCUUUCCAGUUAGAAAUCUUAUUGAGGAGGGCUGACUCUCUUUGUAUGGAUCUAAUGAUCAAGGCUUUUGCCUCAGGCAAGCUCUUGAUUCCCCAGAAGCUGCCCUAUCUUCCCCGGUGGCCCAAGAUCUGCCCUCCCCUGCUUGCCAGCGUUUCAGGUGUUACUGUUGUCAGGGAGUCAAUCCUAUGUAUUGGUUCCAAGGAAGAAGAGUGGUAAGGGGAGCCAAGAUGGAGGAGUAACCAGGGCAGCAGCACCUGUUUCACCAUGGAAAUCCCCUCUGACCAAGAGGAAAAUAUCAUCACCAAACAAAUACAGGAGUGAAAGAACCAACAGAGACAGAGGGAAACAACCAUCAAAAAAAGAAAAACCCAAAAGACAACUAUAUAUAGACUCAGUCUCCAAUCCAAUUCUCCUUGGAAGUCCUGGUCAACACAUAGUUUGGAGACUUCAAGAAUUACCCCAGCUAACCAGAACACAAUGAGACCUGUGGAAAUUUGAGUCAGGAGACUGGAUCUUCAGUCUGGAGGCUGCAGAUAGUAUAACAGUUAAAAGGUGCAUGCUGUGGUGAUGCUAGUGAGACUGGUGGUUGUCUUCCCAUAUAUGUGACUGCAUGAGUGUACAAGAGAGGUACAAUGUGACCAACUUUCUAAUUGGUAAUUUGGCUUUCUCUGAUGUGUGUCCUUGACCUUGGUUUAUGUCUUUGAGUCCCAGGGCUGAGUCUUUGGAGGCAACCUGUGCAGCUUGAUCUUUCUGUAAGUAGUCACUGUCUACUUGACUAUCUUUACCAUGACUACCACAGCUGUGGACUAGUGCUUCCUGUCGGUGCACCCACUAUACUGACACAUUGCCCUGCACUUCAGUGCCCAUAUUACACUAGCUAUCUGGGCACUAUCUGCAUGCCUGGCCCUUCCUGCAGCAGUGCACACCUACCAUGUGGAGCAGAAGCUAUAUGGCAUGAAGCUCUGUGAGAGGUUCUGGGGUUGUCAGGAAUGUCAGAACCAGCUCUAUGACUGUGGGCUGCUGCUGGUCAUUUACCUACUCCUUUGCUGGUCAUCCUGAUGACUUAUAUAUCUCAUUCAAGCUCCAGAACAUGGUUGUGCCAGAUUGUGUUAUCCAGAGACAAGCUGAUUGAGUCAGGGCAUAGCACCACAGGACCUUCUGCUUGCUGGUGGUUGGAAUCUCACCCCUGAUGCUAUCAAUCCAUAUGCAUUUGUGUUGGCUUGCCAUGACUUCUGCUUGUUAACAACCUUUUCACCUAUACUUGGCUUCCUGAUAGCUUUCACAAGUAGCUGAGUAGCAUGCUGUACCUUUGGUCCUGAAAGAUUGCACCGUAUGCAGAGAACAAAACAAUUAGUUUGGUUAUCUAGGAAGCAGUUCUCCUUGACCCUGAUAUUCACAAACAUUUGUUUUGAAGAGUUCCCUUCCCUUUGAAAGGCCAGAAUGAUGUCAAUGCUAGGGAAAGAAAAACAGAGACUUGCUUGUUUUGUUCAUAUUUUUGGCCUGCCCAGAUGUUGACUUUCAGGGUUGUGUGAUUUAUUGGGUUCUCUGUGUACUAUUCUUUAGAAUGCUUGAUGGAAGAGGGAAAGCAUUUGUUUCUCCUUUUCUUUGUGAGUCCCCAAAUAGAACAGGCAAAUGCCACUCCCCCAUUUCAGAAAUAGUUACCUGGUAUUUUAAUUUCUUCUGUUCAUUUCCAUGGCUGCCAAAGAAUAAUGAAAUUAAAAGAAAGGGAUAGGGGAUGGAGCUAGUAUUUAAAUGGAAAGUUUAUAGAUGGUAAUGUUUCUUGGUAUCUUCCUGGCUGAAGGUGGAUCAACUUAGAAAAUCACCUAAUUGAGAAAUAAUUUCAAAUCGGUUAGUCAUUGUGAACUCAUGUAUUCUCAGUGAUUACUGGAAAACCAGAAAUUUAAAAGCCUCUAGCUUUGCAGUCAGUCCUUUGUAUGCUAAAAGAGUUUUCAUUUUUGUCACUUAGAUUUCUAGUUCACAAAAUACAAUCAAACUAGAAAGAUAAAAAGGUCUCAGCCUCUUCCUUAAUUGCCUCCCAUCCCAAAGAAAUAUUAGUAAGGAUCAAAAUUAAUCAGUGAUGAAAAAGGAAGAAAGUUUCAGUUAUUUAAGUAGAGUGAAACAUCCUUUAUAGACAAAUAAAGACCUAUCAUAUGUAGACA
ensembl:lncRNA